GGGGCAAAAAAAGUUAAAUUUUCGGUGUCCCGUCACUUUUGACCGUGAAGAUCACAAGUGUGACUCCCAAAUGAGGAGCACCAGAGG